CACUUUCUCUGUGAUAGCCAAGAGCUGGAAACCACUGCCACGCCCACCAGCCGGUGAACAGAUUAACCCACUGGGCUAGAGCCACACAAUGAGAUGCUACUUGGCAACCGUGGACACACACUGCAUGGCGGACGAAUGUGCAGGCAUGAGGCCACGUGAAGGGAGCCAGGCCCCGAGGUGCCACACUUUGUGCUUCAGAGAAGAAAACACGCAGCCAAAGAGUGUAAAGAGGCUCAGAGGAGGUUCGGGUGCCCUGGAGAGACCCUGCGUCCUGACGACACGGCGUCCCUGUCCUGCAGUGGAGGUUUCCCAGAUGAAGGGGUCCCUGGCGGGAGACAGGGCCCUGCACACGGGUCCUCUGCCACGCUGCUCACCAUGCCUGUGCGUUAUCUCACCAUGAAGUCACCUAGGCCGGGCAUGGUGCCUCAUGCCUAUAAUCCCAGCACUUUGGGAGGCGGAGGUGGGCGGAUCACCUGAGAUCAGGAGUUUGAGACCAUCCUGACUAACAUGGUGAAACCCUGUCUCUAUGAAAAAUACAAAAAUUAACUGGG